UGAGGAAUAUUGGUCAAUGGGCGAGAGCCUGAACCAGCCAAGUAGCGUGCGGGAUGAAGGCCCUAUGGGUUGUAAACCGCUUUUACAGGGGGAUAAAGUGAGUCACGUGUGAUUCAUUGCAGGUACCCUGCGAAUAAGGACCGGCUAAUUCCGUGCCAGCAGCCGCGGUAAUACGGAAGGUCCGGGCGUUAUCCGGAUUUAUUGGGUUUAAAGGGAGCACAGGCCGGCUGUCAAGCGUGUUGUGAAAUGUAGGGGCUCAACCUCUGAACUGCAGCGCGAACUGACGGUCUUGAGUGCGCACAACGUUGGCGGAA
rnacentral:rRNA from 1 species